GUGAAGACGUCUUUGGACUUCAAGAAAUAUAACUUAACAUGGCCCAUCUGGAACACUGACAGCACGUUGUCAGAAUUGCCACAAAAUGGCUGACAUGCCCCUGGACCCGCUCUGC